rnacentral:rRNA from 1 species
AUGAACGCUGGCGGCGUGCCUAAUACAUGCAAGUAGAACGCUGAAGGAAGGAGCUUGCUCUUUCCGGAUGAGUUGCGAACGGGUGAGUAACGCGUAGGUAACCUGCCUGGUAGCGGGGGAUAACUAUUGGAAACGAUAGCUAAUACCGCAUAACAGUAGAUGUUGCAUGAUAUCUGCUUGAAAGGUGCAAAUGCACCGCUACCAGAUGGACCUGCGUUGUAUUAGCUAGUUGGUGAGGUAACGGCUCACCAAGGCGACGAUACAUAGCCGACCUGAGAGGGUGAUCGGCCACACUGGGACUGAGACACGGCCCAGACUCCUACGGGAGGCAGCAGUAGGGAAUCUUCGGCAAUGGACGGAAGUCUGACCGAGCAACGCCGCGUGAGUGAAGAAGGUUUUCGGAUCGUAAAGCUCUGUUGUAAGAGAAGAACGAGUGUGAGAGUGGAAAGUUCACACUGUGACGGUAUCUUACAGGAAAGGGACGGCUAACUACGUGC